rnacentral:rRNA from 1 species
UACGGAGGAUGCGAGCGUUAUCCGGAUUUAUUGGGCUUAAAGGGUGCGUAGGCGGGAGAAUCAGUCAGUUGUGAAAGUUUGAGGCUCAACCUUAAAAUUGCAAUUGAAACUUUUCUUCUUGAGUACGUUGAAGGCAGGCGGAAUUCGCGGUGUAGCGGUGAAAUGCUUAGAUAUCGCGAGGAACUCCUAUUGCGCAGGCAGCUUGCCGUACCGUAACUGACGCUGAGGCACGACAGUGCGGGUAUCCAACAGG